GAAAGCAGAAAAAAAAAAGGGAAUUAUGUUUUCCUCAUAAUGUUUGGUUUAACUUGCCAAGAAAGCCUGGGUGGCCUGGAGUCUUCUUCGUGGGAAGGCUUUGGACUACUCUUUCAACUUGUUUUUAAACUGUUUUCCUGCACAUGGACAAAGAGGUUCCUCCCCAGGACUUUUCCAUUCCGGGAAGCAGACUGUGGAGUGCUCGGGCCACAGAACUGAAGCAAACGCGCACAAAGUGCGGUCACUACGGGCCAAGGGAGAAACCGGGAAACCACUCGGGGCGCAGCCGGGCCGCGACGCCCCUUGCCCCGGAAACCGCGUUCUGACGUCACCACGCGGCAGCGUCCCCGCAGGACCGCAACUGAGCCUGUUGUAUCACGGGACACGCAUGGCUACGCUCUGGUCUUAGAGCGUCGGUGCGGACUUUCGCUCGGUGCUCUAUGCACCUGUUCCUCCCGCCUGCUCAAACUUCUUUUCUACUUAUGAAGAGGGGCGCGUCCCCAUCUCCCGGAAGCAAGGAGAUGCGAGAGGACGGCGCCAGUUUAGGUGCAGCUAAAGGAGAAUCAUCGUCUCCCUCUCCUCCGCCAAGGGGUUUCGGUCCUUACACGACUUUUUUCUGGAUUUCUGACCAUUAGCCUCUACAUCCCCCGAGGAUUAACUCUAAGCUGACCUCCCACCGGUACUGGACCUGCGCCAUGGCACUUAUGGUUAAGCAAACUUAAUUCUAAGGAAUUACUCUCACAACUUCUGCUACUAAAGAACAAGAGAAAUUGGUAGGGAAAUGGAAAGACAAAAGUUCUGAUGAUUUGCCCUUAAUUUCACCAAGUUAAGUCAACUUCAAGAGUCCUCUUGUCAGAAAGUCUAACACGGAUCGGUGGGGUCUUACUCCAUGCAUUUAUUCAAGGAACCUGGCUUCUUCUACUUAGUGCUCUACCACCUUCAAGGCAGCCAGGUCAUGGAAGCAACCUAAAUGCCCAUCGACAGACGAAUGGAUAAAGAAGAUGUGGUACAUAUAUACAAUGGAAUAUUACUCAACCAUAAAAAGGAACGAAAUUGGGUCAUUUGUAGAGACGUGGAUGGAUCUAGAGCCUGUCAUUCAGAGUCAAUACCCAGUGUGUAACCAGGCCUCCAACAAAACUCCUGUGGCUAAACAUCUUAAGGAAAUAGAUCACUUUUAUAACAUAAAAUAAUUGUAAUAAUAUGAUCUAGGUGUGGGAAGAAGCAGCAAGGGAAAAUGUCUCCUGGAUCAUAAUUAGAGGAUCCAGAGAAUCUUUAAUUAUCAAAAGGGCCUAAUCCAAAAAAUAGCACCUGGAGUGGCAUAUCAAGAAUCUUUGCCUGACCUGGAAUGAGGCUUCCAGCACCGUGGGACAAAAUUUGAUCGUGAAAUGUCUCCCAAAUAUUGGUCAGAUUCCUGACCAAGAGGAGAGGAUCAGUCAUGUGCAAUUGCAGCCCUCCAACGUGAGCUAAUAAACCCUGAGGAAACUUGGGAAGGUGAAGAAUACCUGCCAUCUAGCAGCCAUCAGACUGCAGCCACUCCCUAUGGUGAGCCCUGAGGACACUCAGGAUGUGAAAAUACAGGAUACAGGCUCCAGAUAGCUGUGGUGCAUAUCAAAGAAAUGAUUUCAGUGAGCCCAGACUCUUGCAUCUUCCCAUACAAAGAAAAACGCUAAAUUCCUUAACUUGAGAUGUUGCUUCCUGGGCUUGAAGCCCUCAAAAUUCCUGAUAACUCUCAACUUUUAGGUUGUGAAUAUUUUUAAGUCUACAGGUGUAAAGUAGACACUUCCAAAGUGGAAAAAAAGACAAAUCUCAACAUUUGGAACACUGACGCCAAUGGCGGACACUCUCAGAAAGAUCCAUCUGAUGGAGCAGUUAGAACAUUGUCACCCCUUUUUCCACAAGAUUGUGGAAUGAACAUUGACAGUGGGGAAUCAUAACAGGGAAGAGCUAAAUCGGACUCCACACUGCAUCUGUUUCUUUGACUUUAACCUUUGCUUUUUGUUGCUUUUGUUAUAAUCAUACAUAAUGGCCUGCCUCAGGAAACCCUGCCCACCUGUGAAUGGCUGCAAGAAAAAAGAAACUAACACAUCCUCUCACUGAGGCUGGUCAUUCCAGGAGAUGUUUUGCAAGACUGAUGGCCCUUUUACUUUACUUCCUCACCUCCUCUCCCUCUCCGAUUCUAUAAAAGAAACUGGCAUCUAGACCCAGAUAAGAUGGUUUAUCAGAGCCACUAGUCUGCCAUCUUCUCGGUCUGCCGACAGUCGUAUUCCUUGCCUCAAAAAAAACCAAAAACCAAAAAACAGAAAAACAGGUAGGUCCUUCAAAUCAGGUGGAGAAGCUGAGUUCAAAAUUAUAUUUGGAAUAUUUCCAGUGGAGUAAAAAAUAUUUCAGCAAUGAAGACAAUUUGUGUUGUGAGUGAUGGUGUUGUUGGUAAGAUGUGUCUUGAUAUGCUAUACAACAAUAAGUUAAUGUCUGAAUACGUUCCAUGGUUUCUGACAACUAUGCAGUCAGUAACUGGUGAAAACCAUACACUUAUGGACUUUUUGAUCCUGCAGGACAAAAAAAAUUUGACAGAACAACCCCUCAGCUAUCCACAAACAUAUAUUUCUAGUCUUUUUCAGUGGUCUUCGGCCGUUAUUUGGAAAUGUGAAGGAAAAGUGGGUACCUGAGAUAAUUCACCAUUGUUUGAAGACUCCUUGUUUGUUGGAACCAAAACUGAUCUCAGAAAUGUGAUACCCUCUAUUACCGAGAAGCUUGCCAAGAACACAGAAACCUCUCCCUCCGCAGACUGCUGAAAUGUUGUUCUGUGACCUGAAGGCUGUCGAGUACAUGCAGUGUUCUGCAUUCUCACAGAAAAACCUAAAGUAUGCAUUUGACAAAACACUAUUGACUGCCUCGGAGACUCUGGAACCGAAGAAAAGCCGCAGAACUGUUCCUGGAAACCUUGCCCUCUUCCUAAAGGAAAAACUAUAUGCCUUUUCAAGCUGCGAGUUUUCUGAAUUAAACUGGUUGCUGAGCCUAGGCUCACACCUUACCAGCACUGAGAUGGAAGGGGGUGACCCCAGUGCCAGCACUUUCCAACAUCUAUAGAUGUUGUCCACACUAGUGAAGCUGUUGAACUGAUGUUAUAGACAAGUAAAACUGUUUGGAACUGACUUGCCUCAGGCAGUCCCUCUGAAAUCAAGGACUGAACUGCAUAAUUUGGACUGGACUGAGAACCCAGAGUGGGAGAUCUGACAAUACAAGGCCACGUGGGGCCCUGAUAACCUGUGCUGCCUGACUAAUGUAUGUCCUGCUUGGCAUGCCCCAACAUUUGUGAACUCUUUGUUUCUAUGGUUACCACUUGCGAUCUCUGGGACUGUACUUGUCUGUGUGCCCCGACUAUCAUACUACCUCAGCCCUGGAAAGCUUUCAGGUCAGCUUCAACUUACUGGCUGUGCCUGAACUGAUGCCUUGGGCUAAGUUAAAAAAAAAAAAAAGUUAAUCAGAAGCUUAAGGAUGAAGUCAUCUGGCUUUUUCAGAUAGAUCUGUAUAGUUAGUGGUAUUGUUUUUUUUGUUUUUUUUUUUGUGGUAUGCGGGCCUCUCACUGCUGUGGCCUCUCCCGACGCGCAGGCUCGGUGGCUAUGGCUCAAUGGCCUAGCCGUUCCGCGGCAUGUGGGAUCUUCCCAGACCGGGGGCACGAACCCACGUCCCCUGCAUCGGCAGGCGGAUUCUCAACCACUGCGCCACCAGGGAAACUCAGUGGUGCUAGUUUUAAUUGGCUAAGUAAAGGACCCCGAAAGGGCAUAACUGAGAUCAGUACUGCAGGCUGCUCUCACCCUGCUGCAGGAGGUCCUACUGAUAAUACUUUUGCUGUAAAGAUGCCUUGGCCAAGGGCCAAGAGCCUGCUUAUCUGUGGAAAGUCCUGCUUACAGGUUGGCCUGGUGUCUAGGAUGUGUUUUGGGGAGGGUUCCCACCAUUCACAGAACUUUUAAGAGUGGUUCAUUGUACUUAAACUGUUUGUACAACCAGUGUGGUUUAUGCUAAAUACCUACUUUCCUCCUGGGAGUCUGGAAUUUUGGUAUGUGUUAGGCAGAAGGUGCCUAUAUGACCAGCUCCCAAUAAAAGCCUUGGGCAGUGUCUCUAAUGAGCUUCCCCAGGAGGUAACAUUUCACAUGUGUUGGCACAACUUGCUGAUGGGGGAAUUAAGUUGUCCUGUGUGAUUCUACUGGGAGAGGACUCUUGGAAGCUUGUGCCUGGUUUUCUCUAGGCCUUGCACCAUUUGCCUUUUUUGUUUGCUGACUUUGUUUUGUAUCCUUUCACUGUAAUAAAUCUUAGCUGUGAGUACAACUA